AUGAUCUCCCAGGUCCUCUGCUGUGUGGCGCUCUGCCUCCUGGGAGCAGGCUCUGUGGAAACAGCUGUUUCCCAGUCUCCAAAAUACCUCAUCACACAUGUGGGAAACAAAAUCUGUCUUAAAUGUGAACAAAAUCUGGGCCACAAUUCUAUGUUCUGGUAUAAGCAGGACUCCAAGCAAUUGCUGAAGAUUAUGUUUAGCUACAAUGUGAAAGAACUAACUUUAAAUGAAACAGUUCCAAGUCGCUUCUCACCUGAAUCUCCAGACAAGGCUCAUUUAAACCUUCAUGUCAAGUCCCUGGAGCCGGAGGAUUCUGCUGUGUAUCUCUGUGCCAGCAGUCAAGGGAGGAGCUGUGCACUGGUAAAAUGUCUGCAGCUGGGACUGGAGGAGGGUGUAAGUGAAGGUGGUCUAGAAGAGAAGUUUGCCCAUCUGUACUUCAUUCUCACAUCAAUUGGGAACAUCAGAUGGGAUAACGAAACUAAUGCUUCCAACUUUGAGCAGAAGUAUGCUUCUAGAGAAGAGAUGAGAAAUUUUUAUGAAGAUAUUAAAGAUUCUGUGCUGGAGAUUCCCAGAAUAUUGAGGAUCUGA